rnacentral:rRNA from 1 species
GAUGAACGCUGGCGGCGUGCUUAACACAUGCAAGUCGAACGAACCUUCGGGUUAGUGGCGGACGGGUGAGUAACGCGUGGGAAUCUGCCCUCAGGAGGGGGAUAACGGUUGGAAACGGCCGCUAAUACCCCAUAUGCCGCGAGGUGAAAUGAAUUUCGCCUGAGGAUGAGCUCGCGUCUGAUUAGCUAGUUGGUGGGGUAAAGGCCUACCAAGGCAUCGAUCAGUAGCUGGUCUGAGAGGAUGAUCAGCCACACUGGGACUGAGACACGGCCCAGACUCCUACGGGAGGCAGCAGUGGGGAAUUUUGGACAAUGGGCGAAAGCCUGAUCCAGCAAUGCCGCGUGUGCGAUGAAGGCCUUCGGGUUGUAAAGCACUUUCAGUUGUGAAGAAAUGUAUGUAGUUAAUAGCUUCGUAAGCUGACGUUAACAACAAAAGAAGCACCGGCUAACUCUGUG